UAGGGUUACGAGUGCGGUUCUUUAUGGCCCACCUCCCACCCGUGACUAUUGUACCUUGUUGCUUCGGCGGGCCCGCCAGCGUUGCUGGCCGCCGGGGGGCGACUCGCCCCCGGGCCCGUGCCCGCCGGAGACCCCAACAUGAACCCUGUUCUGAAAGCUUGCAGUCUGAGUGUGAUUCUUUGCAAUCAGUUAAAACUUUCAACAAUGGAUCUCUUGGUUCCGGCAUCGAUGAAGAACGCAGCGAAAUGCGAUAACUAAUGUGAAUUGCAGAAUUCAGUGAAUCAUCGAGUCUUUGAACGCACAUUGCGCCCCCUGGUAUUCCGGGGGGCAUGCCUGUCCGAGCGUCAUUGCUGCCCUCAAGCCCGGCUUGUGUGUUGGGCCCUCGUCCCCCGGCUCCCGGGGGACGGGCCCGAAAGGCAGCGGCGGCACCGCGUCCGGUCCUCGAGCGUAUGGGGCUUCGUCUUCCGCUCCGUAGGCCCGGCCGGCGCCCGCCGACGCAUUUAUUUGCAACUUGUUUUUUUCCAGGUUGACCUCGGAUCAGGUAGGGAUACCCGCUGAACUUAAGCAUAUCAAUAAGUCGGAGGAAUA
rnacentral:rRNA from 1 species